rnacentral:rRNA from 1 species
GGAAUUUUCCGCAAUGGGCGAAAGCCUGACGGAGCAAUGCCGCGUGGAGGACGAAGGCUCGUGGGUCGUAAACUCCUUUUCUUGGAGAAGAAGCUCUGACGGUAUCUAAGGAAUCAGCAUCGGCUAACUCCGUGCCAGCAGCCGCGGUAAUACGGGGGAUGCAAGCGUUAUCCGGAAUCAUUGGGCGUAAAGCGUCUGUAGGUGGUUUAGCAAGUCUGCUGUCAAAGACUAGGGCUUAACCCUGGAAAGGCAGUGGAAACUGUUAGGCUUGAGUACGGUAGGGGCAGAGGGAAUUCCCGGUGUAGCAGUGAAAUGUGUAGAGCUCGGGAAGAACACCAAUGGCGAAAGCACUCUGCUGGGCCGUGACUGACACUGAGAGACGAUAGCUAGGGGAGCAAAUGGGAUUAGAUACCCCAGUAGUC